UUUUUAUGGUUCUUCUGGUCUUGCGCCACACUCUUCCAAUCAUUAUUAGUGGAGCUGGAGAUUACUCAACGACAAUGUUCAUGUUACUGAUAUUGAGGACCAUCGGGAUUCUUUUGCCCAUUUAUGUCAUGGUCAAGGCAUUCACUGCUAUCCAGCAUCGCCGUCAACAGCAGCGUCCUCGUUUCUCAGUUGCUGCAUCAGAUGAAGAAAAUGAGUUGCCACAUCUUCAGCCUCAGUCGCGCAUUUUUCACGGUCAGUGAUUGCCACAACCACCUCACCUAAAGGCACAAAGUGUACAGAAGAGGGAAUCAAAUUUCAGUUAUUCUAGUUUCUAUUUGUAACCAAAGAAAGCUGCACCCUUAUCACCAUAGCAAGUGAGCAGAAUUGCUUUUAAUAUGGCAAAAAUCAAGAGGAAUUUAAUGGUGCAGCAACAACAUCAUAUUAUCAUGAAGUAAGAAAACUAUGUACAGUUAGCUAUUAGGCAGUAAAUGGGAACUGCUGUUUAUGAGAAAUCGAGGGAAGAAUUGA
rnacentral:misc_RNA from 1 species